GUUCUUGGGAGCUGAAUAGGAGAAAGGGACAUUUCAGCUUUUCGUGAUAAAGAUUACAACACCUUACUUAAACUAAGAGACAAGAGUAUUUCUUGAAAAUUAAGAGAUCCGCAGCUGAGGAUAUGGCGAUAUUCAGCAAUUGUUGUUCCAUGGCCUGGGCUUGAAACCAUUAUGAUUCUUGAGCUGACUCUUGUUAAACCCAGUGAGUUGUCUUACGGAGCACAACCACC